GGGGGGGGGGGGGGGGGGGCUGGGGGGGGGGGGGGGGGGGGGGGGGGGGCGGGGGGGGGGGGGGGCGGGGGGGGCGGGCGGGUGAGUAGCGGGUGCGGAGGCUGCCAUGGACGUGGGGCGGACGUCAGGAAACUGUGGCUAAUCGCGGAUAGGAGCUCCUGCUGCAUGGUGGGGGUUGGAAAGGUUCGGCGGUUGGGGAUGGACUCGCUGCUUAGCAGCUGGUUGGUGGGGUAGUGGCUUACCAAGGCUUUGACGGGUCGCCGGCCUGAGAGGGUGACCGGCCACAUUGGGACUGAGAUACGGCCCAGACUCCUACGGGAGGCAGCAGUGGGGAAUAUUGCACAAUGGGCGGAAGCCUGAUGCAGCAACGCCGCGUGCGGGAUGACGGCCUUCGGGUUGUAAACCGCUUUCGCCUGUGACGAAGCGUGAGUGACGGUAAUGGGUAAAGAAGCACCGGCUAACUACGUG
rnacentral:rRNA from 1 species